AUUGUACUUACUGGAGAGAAACCAAGAUGGCAGCAUAGGUAAACACCUGAACUCGCUACCUUGCAUAACCACUUCAAAAUUCAACU